rnacentral:rRNA from 1 species
CCCUACGGGACGCAGCAGUGAGGAAUAUUGGUCAAUGGACGAGAGUCUGAACCAGCCAAGUAGCGUGAAGGAUGACUGCCCUAUGGGUUGUAACCUUCUUUUAUAUUGGCAUAACAUGUUCCACGUGUGGGAUUUUGUAUGUACCAUAUGAAUAAGGAUCGGCUACCUCCGUGCCCGCAGCCGCGGUAAUACGGAGGAUCCGCGCGUUAUCCGGGUUUAUUGGGUUUAAAGGGAGCGUAGGUGGCUUGUUCAGUCAGUUGUGACAGUUUGCGGCUCACCCGU